AAACAAGUUCUUCGUGGAUGCAUCUGGCUGCCCUACCGAGCUGCAGCACUUUUUUUUUCCCCCUCAUCGCUUCCCCCCCACCAUGCGAGUGGUAUGUCUGAACCAUAUCCUUCAAAACCAGUUUUCUAAGCAGAUUAGAUGGGUAGCAGAGACAGCUAUGCAAUCAGGCAAAAAUGUGCACUCAAGCCUUCAUUUUGUGCAGUGGCCAGAGCAAAAUAUUAUGUUGACUUGUCCAGGUUUCUUGAAUGGGAAUACCUCUUUGUUUGGCUUUUCUUCAACUAGUCUAAAACGUUUCACUCCAUGUUGGUUCAAAACACUGUGGUGCAUUCUUAGCAGUGCACUGCUGCUCGCUACUGCUCCGAGAGCUGUCGUUUGGCCUGCCCGUUCUCUUCUGCCGGACGUCCUGAGGGCCUUGGACUUCUGACACUGCAUUAUAGAUCUCCCUGAGACCAAACUGUACCAUGGGACACCUCUGUGUGCGCUGUGGGAAUUGUCUUCCAGCCAGAAAGACUGACCCAGAAGUGAGAACAGGGUUAUCAGGCUGCCAAGCUGCAGUGUCUAUGAAGCAACACAACAUUGUGGGAAUAAAAGCAGUUCAAUAGUGUACUGACUCA
rnacentral:lncRNA from 1 species